UAUCCGUUGAAGAGCCUUCAAGACCUGUCACAACGGUUGAGACUGCAUUGAAUAAUAACACAUCAGAACAGCAGACAACAGAACAAAGCCAAACUACUCAAGGCAUGGACUUUUGGACCACUGUCCGCGACCAUCCUGUGAAGUUGCGGAUGACGAGUAAAGGUGGGGGUUCGGAAAACCCCAUCACCAUAGCAACACUACUACAGCAAACCGUCCAGAGGGUCCCAAACCACACAGCACUAGCUGUGAAGCGUGGUGGCGAAUGGAAAAAAUGGACGUACCGGCAAUACUACGAUGACGUGUGUAGAGCAGCCAAGAGCUUUAUCAAGCUUGGUCUUCAGCCAUAUUACAGUGUCGGGAUCCUUGGGUUCAAUUCUCCGGAGUGGUUUAUUGCAAAUAUAGGCACAACAUUUGCUGGAGGUUUAUCUACAGGAAUCUAUGCGACAAACACACCUGAAGCCUGUGAGUUUAUCGCCAGCAAUGCAAAGACCAAUAUAAUUGUUGUUGAAAACAAUCAGCAGCUACAGAAAAUCCUGAAGAUCAAGGCCAACUUGCCUGACCUUAAAGCAAUUGUUCAGUACACGGGCGAAGUGGCUGGAAGGGAAAAAAAUGUUUAUUCAUGGGCAGAGUUUAUGCAACUGGGAGGAGACGUUCCAGAUGACACCCUCAUGUCCAGACUGAAUGCACAGUCACCUAACAGAUGCUCCACACUCAUCUACACUUCUGGAACGACGGGCAACCCAAAAGGUGUAAUGCUUAGCCAUGAUAAUAUAACUUGGAAUGCAGUGGUUUCCUGCAAAGCCGUAGACCUGACGUUUGGUCACGAGGUGAUGGUGAGUUACCUGCCCCUGAGUCACGUGGCCGCCCAGAUGCUGGACAUCUACAUCUCCAUGGCUUGUGGAGGCUCGGUGUAUUUUGCACAGCCCGAUGCUCUCAGGGGCUCCCUAGCGACGACCCUGAAGGAGGUGAGGCCCACCUCAUUUCUCGGGGUUCCCCGCGUGUGGGAGAAGAUGAUGGAGAAGAUGAUUGCAGUGGGUCGCAACUCAAGCGGGAUGAAGAAAAAGAUCGCCAUAUGGGCCAAGGGUGUUGGACUGCGGGGGAGCUAUAACAUCAUGAAUGGCACUGGUUACCCGAUGUGCUGGGGUCUGGCCAACACUCUGGUUUUCAAGAAGGUACGCCUGGCACUUGGUUUAGACCGAUGCAAGUUUUUUUUCUCCGGUGCUGCUCCCAUCACCAAGGAAACGGUCGACUUCUUUCUCAGUUUGAACAUAGCUAUACAGGACAUUUACGGCAUGAGUGAAUCAACAGGACCACAUACAUUUUGUCGUCAGGGUACUGGGAACAGAGUAACCAGUGUUGGUUAUUCCGUGCCAGGGAUCCACACUAAACUCGCCAACCCCGAUGCGGAAGGAACGGGUGAGGUGUGUAUGUAUGGUCGCCAUGUCUUCAUGGGGUACCUGGAGGAGGAGGCGAAGACGAAGGAGACAUUAGACAGCGAUGGAUACCUGUUGACAGGGGAUCUUGGACGCAUAGACAAAGACGGCUUUCUCUUCAUCACAGGCAGAAUUAAAGAGCUGAUCAUCACAGCUGGUGGGGAGAACGUGGCCCCGAUCCCGAUAGAGGAAGCAGUGAAGGAAUGUCUGCCGUGUGUCAGUCAGUGUAUGCUGAUCGGAGACAAGAAGAAGUUUCUGUCCAUGCUCAUCACUCUCAAGGUACCUCAUACAUGUUUCAAGUACAGGGCUACUUGACACAGUGGUACUAGAUGAAAUAAAACUGCAUACUUUAUUUUUCCCGACCAGAUGAACAACCAACCAACACGCUCAAAUUGAUCACCAAUCUUAGGACUUGAGACUGAGGUAGACAUGGAAAGCCUUGAGCCGUUGGAUCAGCUGACGAAGCCGGCGGUGGAGUGGUGUCGGUCGGUGGGGAGUGCAGCGACGACGGUGUCAG
rnacentral:misc_RNA from 1 species